AUCUUGCACAAUGGAGGAAACUCUGAUGCAGCGAUGCCGCGUGAGUGAAGAAGGCCUUUGGGUUGUAAAGCUCUUUUGUAGGGGAAGAUAAUGACUGUACCCUAAGAAUAAGGUCCGGCUAACUUCGUGCCAGCAGCCGCGGUAAUACGAAGGGACCUAGCGUAGUUCGGAAUUACUGGGCGUAAAGCGCGCGUAGGCCGUUGAGUUAGUUAAUUGUGAAAUCCCAAAGCUUAACUUUGGAACUGCAAUUAAAACUGCUCGACUAGAGUUUGAUAGAGGAAAGCGGAAUACAUAGUGUAGAGGUGAAAUUCGUAGAUAUUAUGUAGAACACCAGUUGCGAAGGCGGCUUUCUGGAUCAACACUGACGCUGAGGCGCGAAAGUAUGGGUAGCAAAGAGGAUUAGAU
rnacentral:rRNA from 1 species